rnacentral:rRNA from 1 species
GACGAACGCUGGCGGCGUGCUUAACACAUGCAAGUCGAACGAAGAGCGAUGGAAGCUUGCUUCUAUCAAUCUUAGUGGCGAACGGGUGAGUAACGCGUAAUCAACCUGCCCUUCAGAGGGGGACAACAGUUGGAAACGACUGCUAAUACCGCAUACGAUCUGACCUCGGCAUCGAGGAUGGAUGAAAGGUGGCCUCUAUUUAUAAGCUAUCACUGAAGGAGGGGAUUGCGUCUGAUUAGCUAGUUGGAGGGGUAACGGCCCACCAAGGCGAUGAUCAGUAGCCGGUCUGAGAGGAUGAACGGCCACAUUGGGACUGAGACACGGCCCAGACUCCUACGGGAGGCAGCAGUGGGGAAUCUUCCGCAAUGGACGAAAGUCUGACGGAGCAACGCCGCGUGAGUGAUGACGGCCUUCGGGUUGUAAAGCUCUGUUAAUCGGGACGAAAGGCCUUCUUGCGAAUAGUUAGAAGGAUUGACGGUACCG